rnacentral:antisense_RNA from 1 species
ACUUGGGCAUGCCAGCGUGCUGGGCUCUCCGUUGCUGCCAACUAACGUGGAUUUUCUCCUCUUAAGGUGUGGACAAAUCCUCCAAGAUUUAACUUCCAAGGAAACCGGCGGCGGAGCGGGUGGAGGAGGCGAGGAUGUGUGGCCAGUGCACGCGGAGUGCAAGGCCGCCUAGUUGGGAGCCGCAAGAGCCUGCCUGGUGUGGCAGGCACACGGAACCCAAUCCCUGUCUGUCUGCUGCGGCCUGGGAGGGGAGCGCCGGCCUCACCAGAGGAAGGAGCACGAGGGGAGGAGUUCCUAGAGGAAAUAAUUAGUGAAAUAUUUGCGGAAGAUGCUGGGAUGUGGAUUUAAUUCCACAUGGACAGUGGUGCUUCUGAUUCCCUCAGUCUGUUUCCCUUGGCCUAGACACAUCAAAAAUAAUUCAUUAAAAUAAAAAUAAAAAUUUAAAAACC